GGUUAACGUAGCUUAAACAAAAAGCAUGGCACUGAAGAUGCCAAGAUGAGCCAUAAAAAGCUCCGAUGACA
rnacentral:tRNA from 2 species